AGUGAACGCUGGCGGUAGGCCUAACACAUGCAAGUCGAACGGCAGCACAGUAAGAGCUUGCCCUUACGGGUGGCGAGUGGCGGACGGGUGAGGAAUACAUCGGAAUCUACUUUUUCGUGGGGGAUAACGGGGGGAAACUUACGCUAAUACCGCAUACGUCCUACGGGUGAAGGCAGGAGAUCUUCGGGCUUUUGCCGAUUGAUUUAGCCGAUGUCGGAUUAGCUAGUUGGCGAGGUAAAGGCCCACCAAGGCGACGAUCCGUAGCUGGUCUGAGAGGAUGAUCGGCCACACUGGAACUGAGACACGGUCCAGACUCCUACGGGAGGCAGCAGUGGGGAAUCUUGGACAAUGGGCGCAAGCCUGAUCCAGCAAUACCGCGUGAGUGAAGAAGGCCUUCGGGUUGUAAAGCCCUUUUAUUGGGAAAGAAAAGCAGCAGAUUAAUCCCCCGCUAUUCUGACGGUACCCAAAGAAUAAGCACCGGCUAACUUCGUG
rnacentral:rRNA from 1 species